rnacentral:rRNA from 1 species
GACGAACGCUGGCGGCGUGCCUAAUACAUGCAAGUAGAACGCUGAAGGAGGAGCUUGCUUCUCUGGAUGAGUUGCGAACGGGUGAGUAACGCGUAGGUAACCUGCCUGGUAGCGGGGGAUAACUAUUGGAAACGAUAGCUAAUACCGCAUAAUAUUGACUAUUGCAUGAUAGUCAGUUGAAAGGUGCAACUGCACCACUACCAGAUGGACCUGCGUUGUAUUAGCUAGUUGGUGGGGUAACGGCUCACCAAGGCGACGAUACAUAGCCGACCUGAGAGGGUGAUCGGCCACACUGGGACUGAGACACGGUCCAGACUCCUACGGGAGGCAGCAGUAGGGAAUCUUCGGCAAUGGACGGAAGUCUGACCGAGCAACGCCGCGUGAGUGAAGAAGGUUUUCGGAUCGUAAAGCUCUGUUGUAAGAGAAGAACGAGUGUGAGAGUGGAAAGCUCACACUGUGACGGUAUCUUACCAGAAAGGGACGGCUAACUACGUG